rnacentral:rRNA from 1 species
GACGAACGCUGGCGGCGUGCCUAAUACAUGCAAGUAGAACGCUGAAGGAGGAGCUUGCUCUUCUGGAUGAGUUGCGAACGGGUGAGUAACGCGUAGGUAACCUGCCUGGUAGCGGGGGAUAACUAUUGGAAACGAUAGCUAAUACCGCAUAAGAGUAGAUGUUGCAUGACAUUUACUUAAAAGGUGCAAUUGCAUCACUACCAGAUGGACCUGCGUUGUAUUAGCUAGUUGGUGGGGUAACGGGUUACCAAGGCGACGAUACAUAGCCGACCUGAGAGGGUGAUCGGCCACACUGGGACUGAGACACGGCCCAGACUCCUACGGGAGGCAGCAGUAGGGAAUCUUCGGCAAUGGACGGAAGUCUGACCGAGCAACGCCGCGUGAGUGAAGAAGGUUUUCGGAUCGUAAAGCUCUGUUGUAAGAGAAGAACGAGUGUGAGAGUGGAAAGUUCACACUGUGACGGUAUCUUACCAGAAAGGGACGGCUAACUACGUG